rnacentral:lncRNA from 1 species
UAUAUUGGACUUGGAUUUGAUUUAGGAGAAGAUCAUAACUUCUACACUGUCAUUUUUCUGAAAACUAACAGAUUUAGCUUUAGGAACUGUAGUUAGUUUGUAUCGCUGCAAUUUGUACGCGGUGGAUAUAUAGAAUAGUGUAGAAUGAAAUCACACUUGCGCUGGGAUGCCGAGUUUAUUUUUACAGUAGUGUUUAGACUGUUCCGGACUGUCGGGUGCCGUCGCGGUUGACGGUGGACCCAGAUUUCUAUAUUUGUAUCAGAUUGUGCCGAGGGCAUGUUUAAUAUGGUUGUUAGACCCUUCUGCUUUGACUAUAGCCUGUGAGAGCCUGAUUGAGCUCGGUAGAGACACGCUUGCAUACUCUGUUGGGUAGCGCCCACGAGUGCCACUCCGGAGUCGGACCUAGUACUUUUGCGUUGAUGUCGUUGCGUUCUGGUUAGACUUAUUCUCCACUGACGACCCAGUGUGGUGGUAGUUAGUGUAGUUUCGACAGGCGGGAUGGAUGUGUUCACAGUCCCUAGUGAGAUUGGGUUAGAGAUUGUAUUUUUCUACAGAUAGUUAGUGUUGGAUCAUAAUAGUAUAGUGGCAUAUAGCUGUAGAUUUGUUCCAGCUUCCUGUACUAUCUUUGAGUCUAAUUUCUGUAGACUCAGUGGGUGAGCCGUUGAGGUCGGUAGCGGUACCCACUGAGGACUACUUCUUUUUGCAGUAGUUCUCACACCCAGUUGUUGAACCCUUUUGCAGAGCCUUCUUCUUCGGCUGCUGCUGUUGCGGAUACAGGUUGUGGAAAGGAAGUCGCGAGUUAGAUCCAUUCCCAUUUUGUUGCUGAUCUAGAGAUUUACCAGCUACAGAUAGUGUUGGUUUUGGUUCUUAUACAUAUUGAUGUUAGAUCCUCGCUGGAGCGAGUAUUAUGUAUCUGGAGGCUAUGUAUGUAUAGAAAAUUUGAUGUUAUUUAUGUAUGCUUUUUUCAGUUUAGCAGCUCUAUACUACUAGUUGUAGUUUUGUAUGAUUACAGGUACAGGUACAGCUAUCGCUUCGUAUAUAGGAAAAAUUCUUUUGUAUACGGCGGAUUUGUCGACGUGUCCGGAAAAACGAUUAAUCCGGGGCGUGACAGAUUAAGUUGGUAUCAGAGCUUAGUAUUAGGUCGUUGGGAUCUAGAAACCCUAAGUUUGGCAAAUUUUAAGAAAGUAAAACGCGAGAGGAGUGAUUUAUCGCGAAAGUCAACGAUUGAACUGUUUUAACUUCUCCUAGAGUGGAGUGAGUGGUU